ACACUUAACCGGGCACCGGAGAGACUGUGGCUACGAAGGUAGUCCUUCUCAGAAUGAGGCUCGUCUAUUGCACUCGGGACCUCCAGAUGCCGGGAUCUCCUC
rnacentral:snRNA from 1 species